rnacentral:misc_RNA from 1 species
GAAAUGCGAUAAGUAGUGUGAAUUGCAGAAUUCAGUGAAUCAUCGAAUCUUUGAAAGCACAUUGCGCCCUUUGGUAUUCCUUAGGGCAUGCCUGUUCGAGCGUCAUUUAAACCUUCAAGCUCAGCUUGGUGAUGGGUGACUGUCCUCCCCUCGCGGGGGGGACUCGCCUCAAAAACAUUGGCGGCCGGUACAUUGGCUUCGAGCGCAGCAGAAACGCGGUCUCGAGUCCGGUGGAUCGGCUCCCAUAAGCCUUCUUUUUUAUUUUGACCUCGGAUCAGGUAGGGAUACCCGCUGAACUUAAGC